rnacentral:rRNA from 1 species
UGUGAUGGGGAGCGAAAUUUAGUAGCGAAGUAGCUGAUUUCACACUGUCAAGAAAAGUCUCUAUCGAGGUUAAAGGUACCCGUACCGCAAACCGACACAGGUGGGUGAGGAGAGUAACCUAAGGCCAGCGAGAGAACUGUUGUUAAGGAACUCGGCAAAAUGACCCCGUAACUUAGGGAUAAGGGGUGCCACCAUCAGGUGGCCGCAGAGAAUAGGCCCAAGC